CAGAGCUGAGCGACCUCCUGUCAAAGGCCACGAACCAGAUGACUAUAUUAUGUUUGCUAGUGAGACAGACGCCAUACUGUUCCACUCAAAGAUCCGCCAUCAGUUGUUUACCAGUAUGGAGACCAGCUAAGACCAACUGGGAGGUUUUGUUCAUGCUUUUUAUUGUGCAUUGUCAUGAUUUCUGCUUUGAUUUGUUAUGAAUCUAGGUCUCUUUUUUUAUGUUGCAUCAUGAUAAAUAAAAUGGAUGUAAUUUAUUGUGACAGUGAAUAAAAAAUAUAUUGAUAUA